rnacentral:rRNA from 1 species
UACGUAGGUGACAAGCGUUGUCCGGAUUUACUGGGCGUAAAGAGCGCGCAGGCGGUCGAUCAAGUCGAGUGUGAAAGCCCCCGGCUCAACUGGGGAGGGUCAUUCGAUACUGAUCGACUCGAAGGCAGGAGAGGGUAGUGGAACUUCCGGUGGAGCGGUGAAAUGCGUUGAUAUCGGAAGGAACGCCGGUGGCGAAAGCGACGGACUGGACCUCUUCUGACGCUGAGGCGCGAAAGCUAGGGGAGCAAACGGG